CUGUUGGGGGGAAAUAUUAACGACCCUCUAACACGCAGCUUAAAGAAACAAACAUGAAGGCCCAGGCCCACCGAAGCGUGAUCAAGUCUCCGCCUCGCCCGACCCCAGCGUCAGGAUCGGGAGCGCCCGACCUCCCUCCGCAAGAUCUCCGCCUCGCCCGACCGCGCCCCCAGGGUCAGGAGCGCCCGACCCUGUACCACGAAAGUUCCGCCUCGCCCGACCCCGAGCAAAGGAGUCGGGCACGCUGAGGCCCACGGGUCAGAAUCCCCCUCGGAUACGUUCCGCAUAGACAAGACAAAUCCUGUGGGGCCCCCCGUCGGCCUCACCAUAAAUGCGCCGCAGAGAUAGCAGAGCGCAGGGCGACCGCGCCCCUCACGCAACCCGGCACAAGUACCCGCGCACGACUGUCCUGUACGAGCUACAGUACUGGCGGCCAGCUCCUAUUCGUCGCAAGGUACUCAUGACCUGCGGCGACUAGAGAGAGGGAGGGAGCGGCCCCGCCCUCGGGUCCCUCGCGCCCUCGGGUCCCGCGCAAACGGCAGCACAGGCACGGAACUCCCACCCUCUACAAGCCAUCGCCGGAGCAGCGGCAUCCACCAUCCUCCCUAACGGACGGCGGGAUAACGACGAAACCCCCUCAUCAUGAUCUAUCCUGAUACCUACGAACCUCGAAGUAGCUACCUGCGAAGAGCUGCAACACUUGGCAUCCGGCAGCCACCCCUUCCGGCAUGCACGACGGCACGCGUUCAGGGUCAGCAGGACGUCGGGCGCCAGGGGCCUCUGCCCCCCUUCCCGCUAGACCCUUUUUACCAUCUCACUCUUUGCCUUUUAUCUGGUCCCAAUUGUAACUCCGGCUGGCCCCUUGCGAUAUAAAAGGGGGAACCUAGAGCCGGGGGAAAGGGAUCGGCAGACCAAGAGAUCAACACUUCCCCCAAGAACACAAAAAUAAAAGAGACCUGGGACCAGUCCCUCUCUCGCCCGUCUGUAACCCCCUACUACAGAAUCCCCGCGCGGGCAACACGAACAUCCUCGAUACUGGACGUAGGGCUUCCUUUGCCCGAACCAGUCUAAUCCGUGUCUCCCGUGCAACCAUCUGAGACUCACGCACAUAAAAGAAAUUUACUAGUCUAAGUCCUGAUCCGCUGAUCUUGACAACGACAGUUGGCGCGCUAGGUAGGGGACCUUUGCGCGUACAUCUCCAAAUCUCAGAUGGCCAAUCGCGAUGGCAGCUUCGCUCCGAGCUCCCUGAUCCGCUUCGGGAGCCUGGACUUUCUGGCCACCGGAAAUGGGAUCGAGCUGAUCCCUGUCCACAUCCUGCCCGCUCGUCCUGCUGCCCUCGGCACCACCGCUAGGAUGACGACGAGCGGCCGGACGCCGGCCGGAAGGGCCUCACCAGAAGGAUGGCUCUUCGGGCUACGCAACGCCACGGAUGCUCACGGUCGCCUCCUAGCGCGGUCCUUCGCCACGUCACCCGCGAGCAACGAGCUCGCGGGCAUGGCAAGGACGGUCUCCGACACUGGCUCCAGUAACGAGGAUCCACGCCCCUCGCGCGAGUGCUUCAUGGCUGACGCGCACUCCGAGGGGUCCAAUGGCAAUGGUGCCGAAGGGAGGCAACGGGCUCCCCCCUCGCGCGCCGCAGCUACGACUGGGGCCCUACCCAGGGCACCAGAGGGCUCUCUGCAACCGGAAGCGCACAUGGGCGCUUGCCAAGAAGUAGAGCACCCCCGCCACGAGGGGAGAGCACGACAACGAGCGCGCGACGUCCAGGAACGCAUCUGUGCGGAUGGAGAACGUCCACCGCUCUUUGCCCGCGCCAGCCAGAACGUCGCCGCCGCGGCGGUGCUACUCCGACAGCUCCCCGAGCCGGCAACGCCUGAGGAGCGACGGGCGCGCCAAGAGAUGCGUAACCUACUCGAGUGCACCGCCGUCCAGCAGGCAGAAAGUUCGGCGUCUCGACGACGCGGCCAGAACGCCAGUAGGGCGACGCAGGGCGCCCCCCCGGAACGGCGGGGGGAAUCUGUCCAUCAACCCCUUCCGGAAGCGAAUCCGACCGCGACCGCCCAGCGAGCACCGCCACUCGCGGUAGGCGAGGCCCGAUCCAUCCACCAGCGCGUCGGUCCCGUUCGUGACGCCCGCGACACACUGAACGCGCGGAGACGUUCCCGCGCGGACAGGGCGGACGGGGCGGACCGUGGCUACCACGUCCACCGUGGCGGGCGCUACGACAGCGGGGAAGACCACAGUCCGAGUCCCGGAGCAGCCGGACCUCGGGCCUUCUCUGCGCGCAUCCUGAAUGCGCCCUUCCCGCCGCGCUUCCGGCAACCUACGAGUGUGGCCAAAUACUCAGGGGAGACCAACCCUGGGGUAUGGCUCAGCGAUUACCGGCUUGCAUGUCAAGCUGGCGGGGCGGACGAUGACUUGUUCAUCAUCCGCAACCUACCCUUGUUUCUGGAAGACUCCACGAGAGCCUGGCUAGAACAUAUCCCUUCAGGGCGUGUUCGCAACUGGAACGACUUGAAGGAGGUUUUCGUAGGAAACUUCCAAGGGACGUACACACGCCCUGGCAACUCCUGGGAUCUCCGGAGCUGCCGCCAGGGGGCGGACGAGUCCCUCCGGGAUUACAUCCGGUGCUUCUCCAGAAAGCGCACUGAGCUCUCCAACGUCGCCGACGCUGACGUCAUAGGAGCCUUCCUAGCAGGGACCUCUUGCCGACCCCUCGUCCACGAGCUAGGGCGCCGAGGCCCGCGGACCACGGAGGAGCUCCUCAACAUCGCCACUAGCUAUGCCUCUGGCGAAGAGGCUGUCGGAGCGAUCUUUGAUCGUUCCAAAGGCAAGGCGAAGCGGGAGGAGGACGCCGACGAAGGCACCUCCAACCGCCAGCGGCAGAAGAAGAAGGGCAAGCAGCUGUGCGAGGCCCCCCUCGUGGCCGCAGUCGAAUGCAAGCGAGGGCAGCCACCCCCCGAAGGCGCACCUGGCUUCUUCGACAAGCUGCUCGAGGGACCGUGCCCAAACCACGAGUUCCCCGUAAAACACGCCUACAAAGAUUGCAACCUCAUGAAGAGGUUCUUCGUGGGCAAUCCGGUGAAGGGUGAUCGGAAACGGAAGCCCGAUGAGGAAAGGAAGGGCGACGAGGAGAAGGAAGACGGCUUUCCUAAAGUGGACGGCUGCUUCAUGAUCUUCAGAGGCCCCGCAGCGUACGACACCAAGCGCCAGCACAAGCUAGAGCGUCGGGAGGUUUACGCCGCCGAGCCUGCAACCCCGGCUUUCCUCGAUUGGUCCGCGCCGGCCAUCACCUUCGACAGGUCCGACCACCCUGGACGCGUCCGGCACCCAGGGCGCUAUCCUCUCGUCGUCGACCCCAUCAUCGGCACGACGCAUCUCACCAAGGUACUCAUGGAUGGGGGCAGCGGCCUCAACCUCCUCUACGCUGAGACCCUCGACACCAUGGGGAUUGACCGCUCCCGUCUCCGUCCUAGCAAGGCUCCCUUCCAUGGCGUCGUGCCAGGGAAGCAGGCAACGCCCCUCGGGCAGAUCGACCUGCCCGUCACGUUUGGGACCCCUUCCAACUACAAGAAGGAGGUCCUCACCUUCGAGGUGGUGGGCUUUCGCGGAACCUACCACGCCAUCUUGGGCCGCCCAUGCUACGCGAAGUUCAUGGCAAUCCCCAACUACACCUACCUCAAGCUCAAGCUGCCAGGACCCAACGGAGUCAUCACCGUCGGCACGACCUUCCAGAAGGCAUACGAGUGCGACGUCGAGUGCUGCAAGUACGCCGCGGCUAUCACCGUCUCGGGCGACAUGGUGGCCCAGCUUGAGGAAACAGUUGAAGACCGGCCCGAUGCCAAGCAGUCAGGAACCUCCUUCGAGCCCACCGAAGGUAUCAAAGAAGUCCCUCUCAAUCCCGGUUGUUCCAGUGGAGGGGUGGUGCGGAUCAGCGCAGCCCUAUCCCCCAAAUAGGAAAGCGCGCUCGUCGGCUUCCUCCGCGCAAACAGCGACGUCUUUGCAUGGAAGCCCUCGGACAUGCCAGGCAUCCCGAGAGAAGUCGCCGAGCAUUCCCUGAACAUCAGGACCGGCUCUAAACCGGUGAAGCAAGGCUUGCGCCGUUUCGAUGAAGAAAGGCGCAGGGCCAUUGGUGAAGAGCUUGAAAAGCUCCUGGCGGCCGGCUUCAUCAAGGAAGUACACCAUCCCGAGUGGUUGGCCAAUCCUGUUCUUGUGCCGAAAAAGAAUGGGAAAUGGAGAAUGUGUGUCGAUUAUACCGGUCUCAACAAAGCGUGUCCAAAGGAUCCGUUUCCUUUGCCGCGUAUAGAUCAAAUAGUCGACUCGACAGCCGGGUGCGAAACACUCAGCUUCCUCGACGCGUACUCCGGCUACCACCAGAUCGCGAUGAAAGAGGACGACCAGCUCGCUACCUCCUUCAUCACCCCCUUUGGCCCCUACUGCUAUGUUAAGAUGCCAUUCGGCCUCAAAAACGCGGGGGCUACCUUCCAGCGAUGUAUGCUUAAGUGCUUCGGAGACCUCAUCGGGCAGACCGUUGAGGCCUACGUCGACGACAUCGUUGUCAAAUCCAGGAAGAGCGAUCAGCUCAUCCCCGACCUAGAGCUAGCCUUCGAAAGGCUAAGGGAUAAGCGUAUCAAGCUUAACCAAGAGAAAUGCGUGUUCGGUGUCCCAAGGGGCAUGCUGCUAGGCUUCAUCGUCUCCGUGCGCGGCAUCGAGGCGAACCCGGAGAAGAUAGCGGCCAUCAACGGCAUGGGGCCGAUCCGGAACAUGAAGGGAGUGCAGCGCGUCAUGGGAUGCUUAGCGUCCCUAAGCCGCUUCAUCUCGCGCCUCGGCGAGCGAGGACUCCCCCUCUAUCGGCUCCUGAAGAAAUCCGACCGCUUCGAGUGGACCAGCGAGGCGCAGGAGGCGCUUGACCGGCUCAAGGACCUCCUGACGAAGGCCCCAAUCCUGGUUCCGCCGGCCGACGGCGAGAUCCUUCUACUCUACGUCGCGGCGACCACCCAGGUGGUCAGCGCGGCCUUAGUGGUGGAGCGGGAGGAGGAGGGGCAUGCUCUUAAAGUGCAACGCCCGGUGUACUUCAUCAGCGAGGUGUUGUCCGAAUCCAAGUCACGAUGCCCACAGAUCCAGAAGCUCGUCUACGCCGUCCUCAUCGCGAAGAGGAAGCUGCGUCACUACUUCACCUCCCACCCGGUAACGGUCGUCUCUUCAUUCCCGCUUGGUGAAGUAAUCCGGAACCCAAAUGCAACAGGGAGGAUCGCGAAAUGGGUGGUUGAGCUUAUGGAUCAAGGUAUCACCUACGUCCCCCGCACCGCCAUUAAGUCCCAGGUACUUGCCGAUUUCGUGGCCGAGUGGACACAGAUACAAACACCGCCGGCGACAGAGGAGCAGGAGUAUUGGACGCUGUACUUCGACGGGUCGUUGAUGAGGGCCCGCGCUGGAGCAGGCCUCGUUUUCAUCUCUCCGCUGAGCGUACGCAUAAGGUACAUGAUUCGCCUCCAUUUUCCUGCAUCCAACAAUGUCGCUGAGUAUGAAGCCCUUCUCAACGGGCUUCGCAUCGCCAUCGAGCUGGGCAUCCGUCGACUAGACGUCUGAGGCGAUUCCCAGUUGGUCGUCGAACAAGUCAUGAAAGAAUGGAGCUGCCAUGACCCAAAAAUGGCCGCCUACUGCAACGAGGUACGUAAGCUCGAGGACAAGUUCGACGGGUUGGAGCUCAACCACGUCGCAAGGCGCUUCAACGAAGCCGCCGACGAGCUCGCAAAGGCAGCGUCCGGCCGGAUGCCCGUCCCCGACGGCGUCUUCGUUAGCGACCAGCUGAAGCCUUCGAUCCGUUACCCGGAGCCAGCAGGGGUCGGCGAGGCAUGCCCAGCCUUGGGGUCGGGAUCCGAGCCAGGAGAGGUCGGCAAUACGCCACCUAUCCUGGACCCGAACACCAAUCCCGAGGGAAACAACGCUGCCCCACCCGACCCGGCCGCGAAAGCCAAGCCCUCCGACCCCGCAGUUAUGGAAAUUGAGGCGGGCCCCGCGGCGGGGGCCGACCCCACGACCAAUUGGAGAACCCCGUACCUCGACUACCUUAUCCACGACGCACUCCCAACCGACAAGACCGAAGCCCGCAGGAUCACGCGCCGUGCGAAAUCCUUCACCAUCAUCGACCAAGAGCUUUACAAGCGAAGCCACACGGGGAUCCUCCAGCGCUGCAUCCCGAUCGAGCAGGGAAAGGCGCUGAUCCAGGACAUCCACGCCGGGGCUUGCGGUCAUCACGCUACACCAAGGACGCUUGUGGGCAAUGCCUUCCGACAAGGUUUCUACUGGCCAACCGCGGUCGCGGAUGCUACCCAGGUAGUCCGCACUUGCGAAGGAUGCCAAUUCUUUGCCCGCACAGGCGUUGCAAACCAUCCCCAUCACGUGGCCGUUCGCGGUCUGGGGGCUGGAUCUCGUCGGACCCUUCAAAAGGGCGCCUGGGGGCUUCACCCACCUACUCGUCACCGUCGACAAGUUUUCCAAAUGGAUCGAAGCAAGGCCUGUGGCGCAAAUCAAGUCCGAGCAAGCGGUACAAUUCUUCACCGACAUCAUCCACCGCUUCGGGAUCCCGAACUCCAUCAUAACCGACAACGGUACGCAGUUCACCGGAAAGAGAUUCCUCCAGUUCUGCGACGACCACCACAUUCGAGUGGAUUGGGUGGCAGUUGCGCACCCCCGCACGAACGGGCAAGUCGAACGAGCCAACGGCAUGAUACUCCAGGGUCUCAAGCCACGGAUCUUCGACCGCCUUAAAAAGUUCGGCGGACGAUGGGCUGCGGAACUCCCAGCAGUCCUCUGGAGCCUGAGGACGACCCCCAGCCGGGUGACAGGAUUCACCCCGUUCUUCAUGGUUUACGGGUCUGAGGCCAUCCUGCCCACCGACUUGGAGUAUGGGUCACCAAGGGUCAAAGCAUACGACGAACAGGGGAACCAGGCAUCGCUCGAGGACGCGCAAGACCAACUCGACGAAGCGCGAGAUGUAGCCCUCCUACACUCAGCUAAGUACCAACAGGCCCUACGGCGUUACCACAGCCGCAAGAUACAAGGUCGCGCCUUCAACGUUGGAGAUCUAGUGCUCCGCCUCAUCCAAGACAACAGGGGUCGGCACAAAUUGACUCCCCCAUGGGAAGGCCCGUUCAUCGUCGCACAGGUGCUACGGCCAGGCACCUACAAGCUGGCAACUCCCGACGGGCAAAUCUUCAGCAACGCCUGGAACAUAGAACAGCUAAGGCGCUUCUACCCAUAGCUCUCGUUUAUAAGUUAUAUAUAGCCUUGCCCCCGUUUUCGUUUUAAGCUCAGGGGUAUCCGACCCUGGCCUCGCUCCAAGGUCGCAUACCCCUCGGGGGCUACCAGUUUUGUUCUUCUGCUAAAAAGAAACCCUGAGCCACCUGGGCCCAGGUCUUUUCGUUUAAGCUCAGGGGUAUCCGACCCUGGCCUCGCUCCAAGGUCGCAUACCCCUCGGGGGCUACCAGUUUUGUUCUUCUGCUAAAAAGAAACCCUGAGCCACCUUGGCCCAGGUCUUUUUGUUUAAGCUCAGGGGUAUCCGACCCUGGCCUCGCUCCAAGGUCGCAUACCCCUCGGGGGCUACCAGUUUUGAUCUUCACGAAACAAGAAGGCCUUUUCUUUUAAGCUCAGGGGUAUCCGACCCUGGCCUGGCCCCAGGAUCGCACACCCCUCGGGGGCUAUCAGGGGUCCCAACCCCAGCCGCUGGGCACCGCUAAAAAGAAAAUGUUUUUUCUUCUUUCAAAGAACCGGACACUCCCUUUCGAAAACCUUUGGACGCAAAAAGAUAAGGAUGCGUGAACGGUACUCAGCCAAGUUGCGAUCGGACUGCGAAAAAGCCUACGCCCCAGCGGCUACGGUACCUUCGCUCAUCAAAAACUUACUGACACGCCUGGCAACGCAUCCGAACGCUUUCAAAAACCAAAGGAAUAACAAAGGGAAGCGGUUUCCUUAGCACAAAAUAAAAAGUCAUAAGAACAGGCCCGUAUGGCCAGCGCAAACAAGUUCAAGACAACUGACUUAAAUACAAAUGUUUUUUGGGCACAAGCCCGGUACAGCUAAUUGACAGGAGGGUCAACAGGAGCGACGGCCUCAGGGUCGGCGACGGCGGCGGCUUCAGGGUCGGCGGCGGCAGGAGCAUCGGGGCCGGCAGGAGCGGCUUCAGGGUCGGCGGCGACAGGGGCCUCGGGGCCGGUAGGAGCAGCUUCAGGGUCGGCAGGAGGGACGGCUUCAUCCUCCAGAAGCUUCGCGAGGGCCUCCGCCGUCGCAGUCACCGCGGAGUCGAUCUCGUCCAGCUCGGCGUCGGUGUAGCCAGCGCAGUACCCCUCACUCAUCCCGACAAAGUUAAUGUCGGCAUAGUGAGAGCCGAAGACCCCGAAGGUGCGCCGCACACCAAGGUGAAGCGCGUCCACGGCAAUCUCACGACGGCGACGGCGCACUUCAAGAACACGGGCCGACAGCGAGCUCGACCCCUCUUCCGGAGCAACGCCGAAGUCCUCGCAGACGACGCGGACCGCAUCCCGCAAGGCGCCAUGCUCGCCGCGCUCCUCGUCGAGCAAAACCCGCAACCUGGCAAGGUCCUCUGCAGGAGCCGAUCAAGAAGUCCCACCAAGUCAGAUGAAAUGAAACACCAACAACACGGAGAUACAGAAGCAGAAAGAGCCUCACCGUCGGCUUGGGCCUUCAGCUCGCGUUCCCGGUCGACACUGAGGGACAAGGCGGUCUGGAGCCCGUGCACCUGCAAACGGAAUUGCUCGCGUUCCGCGUGAAGGGCUCCAUUCUCCCCCCUCAGCCGCGCCAGUUCUUCGGCGUCUCGGCGGGCUCGCUCAUUAGCCGCGACCCUUAGCCCCUCGGCAUCACGGCGCGCCUUGUCCAUGGCAGCCUGGAACUCCUCAAGGUCCAGAUGGGCCUUCUCCGCGACGGCCUGGAGCUUGGCCUCGGCACGCCGUGCCCCCUCCAGCGCCACCUACUCACGACCCUCCAGGUCGCGAACGGCAGAAACAAACAUACCUGGUUGCCAGGGACCACGGUGUUGGCCAAAGCUCCCAACGCCGAGGUCAGCGCCGCCUGAGCCUGGGCGACGCCGCCAUGCACCACCUGCCACUUAUGCCACUCGACGGCAUCGUCCAGUGCGUAGAGGCGCCGCGGCGGAUCGUCGCGGGACGUCCAGCGGAGGAUGUGCCCUCUCCACGCCCCGGGGACGGAGGAAGCCGAGGGCGGAACAAGGCCCGACUCUGACGUUGUCGUCGAUGACGACAUUACGACGCCAGAAACCCCCGGAUCCGUCGGCGCCUGCACACCCGUCGCCACCACGGCCGCCGACGGCACCUCUGUGGGCACCUCCGUCUCGGCCGCCGGAAGCACCCCCGUGGGAGCAACCGGGACGGAGACCUCGGCCUCCGACACCGGUGCCUUCACCGCCGCCGCACCCUCGGGAGCCAGCGCCCCCUCUGCCUCCGACCCCGCCACGGCAGCGGGGGCAUCCGCCCUGCCCACUGCCGUCUCCGCCUCCUCCGCCUCGUCGGCGUCGAGGUCGAUCACCUCCCCGGCUUGCGGGCCCGGGGGAAUCGCGACCCGAGCCGGAAGGACGACCGGUGGGGCCGCAGGCGGAGUAGGGUCCGCUCCCCCUCCUGCGGCUGACCCCGCCGCCGUCCCGACGACCGGCUCCUCAGCGGCCACCUCCGCCGAGGGACCUGCGGCCACGCCAGCAACCCCGCCAGUCACCGCUGGCAGGGUGGCGGCCCGCCCCCCGGAGGAGGACGACGUCCGCAGCAUCUUCUUGGGCGCCAGCCGCAGGGUGACGCCGCGGGGAGAAGUGCUGCAACAUCGACGGUUAGGCGUCAAACAGGAACGUACGAAAGGAGAAAGAAAGGAUGACAUGUGGGGAGAGUCAACUUACGCCCUCGAAGCACAGGGGCGGCGCGCGCGCUUCGACUCUGAGCCGGACGCCGACCCCGGGGCAUCCGGCAGUGGCCGCUUGUCCCCACCUCGUUGCCCUCCGCCAGCAGGCACGACGGCGGGGGCAGCCCCCACAGAUCCCCGAGGAGCCUCCCGAGCGGACUCCUGGGGGGCGCCCCGCGCCGGACCCGAGACUGCGGCAGGGGCGGACUCUGAAGGCCCCCGAGGGGCGCUCCGGCUCGACGCCGGGGCGACAUCCCUCGCCGGCGCCGGGGGAACACCCCGCGCCUGCUCCUGGGGGGUGCCCUGGGAUGACCCCGAAGGGGCACCCCGCGUCCCUCCCUGGGGGAGGUCCUGUGCCGACCCCUGGGGGACGCCCUGUGUUGCCCCCUGGGGAGCGAUCCGCGCAGGCUCCUGGAGCACGCGCUGCGCUGACCCCUGAGGCACGGCCCCAGGACCGGGGGGAGCCGGAUCCCGCACGGGCGCUCCCGCCGCCGCCGCACCCCCUGCCGCCGUAUGCGGGGGUGCGUCACGAAUCACUAAAGCCCCCGAACGGGGGGCAAACAAUUCCAUUUCCUCCUCCUCCUCCUCCUCUUCUUCUUCUUCUUCUUCCACGUCGUUGUCGUCGUCGUCGGACCCGACCACCCCUCUCCGCCGCGCUGGAGCUCCUUGGCGGCCUUCUUCCGCUGCUUCUUCGUCUCCUUGUCCUUACGGCGUUUGUCCUUCUCGGCCUGGAGGCGAUUGCGGGCCCUCCGCACGGCAUCCUCCGGCACCGGCGGGAGGGAGUCCGCAACCCGGGUCAGCAUGCCCUGCGAGGCAAAAGGAGGACCAACGUCAGAACGACAAGACGAUGCGACGACAGGAAGGAGGAGUGGUGGCCCAAACGCCUUACCAGGUCCACGAAGCCCUGCUCCGGGCGCAUAGGUGGAUGCCCGGGGAUCGGGUAGUCGACGUCCUUGUCCUCCAGCGCCUCCCGGAGCCGUUGCUGGAUCUCGGAGGCGGCGAGCGCACCUGUCGCCAUGACAGUGCCCUCGGGCGGCAUGUCGGGGGUCAUGACGCCAAGGGGCCGGACCCGGAGCAUCAGCGGCGCCACCCGCCGGGCGUGGUAUGCACCGAUGACCCCAGCGCCGGUGAGCCCCUCCCGCUUCAGCUGCCCGAUGGCCUGCAGCAGGUCGGAGAUCUUCCUCUUCUCCUUCUCCACCGGCCCGUACGCCCACACAUCGGGCGCCGCGUCGAUGGUGCGACCGGUGAAUGCCGGCAGGGGGGAGAUCGGGUAGUUCUUCACGUAGAACCACUGAUUGUGCCACCCCUUGUGGGACACCGAGGUCUUCACCGUGUGUUGGCGCUAGAAAUCGGUCAAACGAAUCCCAGCGACCGACACACGACCCGGGAGAAUCUGCUUAGCUCCUGUUCGGGUGAAUGCCCUAGUGCGGUUCGCGCGGCGUGCCAGCCAAUCUGACCUGUUGAUUGGCAAGGAAGAACACGUGUCAGGUUCAGAAACUACGAUCGGCUAAGUUUCCGAUCGAGAGAGUUUAUCGGCGAAUCGGCCGAUUUACUGUGAUAAUGAAAUCGGCUAUAAGACAGCCCGAUCCCUAUAGCCUUGUAGACAGAAAAUUGCUAAAGUAAUCGGUACAAAGCUUGCGAUAACAACACUAGGAACAGAUCUAAUCGGCAACGGAUGAAUCUAACGAUAGAAAAUAAAUAAAGCCGAUACUACCGAUUCCUAGCUGGAUAACUGGUGAUAGAAACUAGAAAAACAGGUAAAAACCUAUGAAUCUAGCAAAUAUCGAUAACUGAUGAAUAAAUCUAAACGAAACAACAGCGAUGCGCUGGAAGUUAAAGCUUAGAUAUUACUCGAUAAACGGAACUUACAGAAUCGGCCGGAGAUCAAGAUGAUGCAGCCCUGCCAAUCCGCACGAACUCGUAAGAAGAAAAAGUAAUAGCGAAGUUGCCUGCUCGGGAGUAAGUACGAAGGAAAAAGUAACUUGUUGUAUUGAUUGGUUGAUGAUUACAGAUUUACAAAGGUAGCUAUUUAUAGCCCCGUACAGAUAACUUCUUAACCGACUAGAAUUCUAUCUCUAAUUCAAACAGAAAACAAACAUCUACAAGCACAAUUCGUGCUAGGUUAGUUACCCCACGCUUCGUGGGCUGACCUUCACCUUAUCCUUCCAUCCCUUUCCAAGCCCAUACAGGCCCAAUUAGUCCAUCCUCUUAAUCGGUCGAUUUCUCAUCGGCAAAAGAUUACCGAUUGGGAUUCUGGUGCAUUCAUCCUGAAGCGAGACAAAAGUCGCCAGCCGAUCCCGCACUAUAGCACCAUUUGACCGAUUCCCAACUGUAGUUCUCCGAUUUCUUUUCUGCUUGACGCCGAUUCUACUGGUGACGAAAUCCGGCGUCAACACAUGCCCCCCAGUUUCGGAGUAAAACACAGUCUUUUACUUCGAAAUUCUUUAUAACUUCCCCUCCGAAACGGCCGCAGUGAAAAUAUCCUUCCGUUUCGCGAUCUCCCGGCUGAUCAUUGCAAUUUUUGAAACGGGCGCCCACGACAGCCACUACCCCGAAAAACUCGAAGCGCCGGCGCGGUGAAAAUUCCAUCUUUACCCCCACUUCAGGCAUCCUAUAAAUAGCGCUUCACCGCAGCUCAUCUUCAAGCUCACGUCUCUUUUCCCAACACGCGCGCAUCCUUCUUCUUUCAACACUCUCCCUUGCCAUCGAAGUCUUCUAGUUCCAGUUCCUGUUACUUCUUCCCUCUUCCCUUCGAUGGCGACUCCUUCCGGCAGCUCCCCCGUACGCGAUGCUCCAGAGAUAGUGCCUCCGGUGGUGGUGGCGACGGCCGUCACUUCAUCUGCAGAUGAAAGAGCUUCAUCAGAAAUCCCAAUGGCGGUCCCCAUCACGGCCCCGUCAUCCACAUCCGCGUCGGCGACCACACCGAUUACUCAGAACUUUAUCCCGGAGGUAAAUACCGAAUCCUUCCCCUAUCGGCAACGUAUUUAUCUUAGAUCUACUCCUUACAUUUCCAUGCCCCUUUUUCCUUCUUUUAGGCUGUUAGGCAUAGAAUUACUAUUCACCUCACGGGCAGUCCUGGCCUUGUUUGCCUUGGUCCUAUGGGAGACCCAGAUCCGGCGAAUCUUAUAAAUUUGGAAACCGACCGGGUACCCUUCAAACGAUCCGAUAUGAACUUAGAUCAAUGGGUGAGCACUUUCAGAUCUUGGCCGAAUGAAACCCCAGGUUGGAGGGAAUGGUACCAACGGGUGGCUGCGUCAAAGAGCGUCUUGUGGGAAGAGCUCAAAAUCGGCCAAUGCAUCAACCUCUCUCUGUCUCAAAUGGAGAAAAAUGAGCCGUUAGUGAUGGCGGCUUCCUAUUUUUGGUCUGACGCACUUAAUGCGUUCUUAUUUGGACACGGUCCUAUGACCCCCACUCUAGCCGAUGUGGUCCUCUUGACCGGCCUGGACAUAUCUUCCCCUGACACGCCCUUCCACCUUUUGACUACAACGUCGCAUCGGCUGGACACAAGGGGAAUCGGCGGCUGGAAAGGCUUCAUCAACAGUAACAAGAAGACCGGUACCGUUGAGAACAGGGAACACACAGCUUUCCUGAUGAUGUGGCUAGAAAAACAUCUCUUUUGUGGAAGAGCCGCCGGCCCAACAACCAACACCCAAUCCUUAGCUGAAGCACUGUCCAGAGGAAGCCAUAUUCCUCUCGGGAAACAUCUUCUGGGUGCCGUGUACCACAUGCUCCAUCAAAUCGGCACAAAACUUUCAAAGGGAGAACCAAUCGGCAACCCAGGUGGGCCUUGGUGGUUUGUUAAUCUAUGGUUGAACCUUUACAUGAGCAGAAUCACCUGGCAGCCAGUAGACCAUAUGAUGUUUCCCAAUAUCGAAUCGGCGGAGGACCCUACCGAGCGUCGCCGAUGCAUGUCCUUUGGUGAAGCAGCGUCAGCUUUCCCAGGUUGUGCGUAUUCUGCUACAAAGGUAGCCGAGUACUUUCGGUGCUUUUAUAAUGGAUUUAAUGAAGAUGCAUCCAUUUGGUUCCCGUACCAGCGAGACAUCCCAGUCUUUGAGCUCCCUACCUGCUUUGACUCAACUUCUGGCCGGUUCGAUGAGAAUCUUUAUGAAGAACUGAUCAAGCCAGGACUUCUACCGGCCAACUUCUUUUCAGGGAAGGAUGCUCCUACAUACGAAUUCUACAACCCGUCUACCGCCGCACGACAAUUCGGCAUGGGUCAAUUGCUGAUACAAGUGUAUUUUGCUGACCGAAUCAAGUUCAGAGAUGUGCUCACAACUGGCCUGGAUUACUGUCGGCUGCGAGACCGAAUUCCGGACUCCAGUACGAUCAAUUUGAAUGACUGGCUAUUAUUUCCAUUUGCCAUCCAGCCGUUCAAACUUUGGUGGGCCGAAUGGAAGCAAUUUCUAUUUUGCAACUCAGCAUCGACAUACUGCAACCUUCUAGAUCCGGCCAACAUUGAUCCCAACGCCGAGGUAUUUCUGAUCGCCGAUUGUUAUUCUCCCCAACAUGAUUGAGCACUAAUAACUUCAUUGUUUCUUUAGGCCGGGAAUCGGAACCCUCCAACACACAGCCGCAGCGGUCGGCUAAUAGAGAGCUAUCCGUACACCACCUAUCCUCUUAUCGGCUACGACGCUCCGUCAGUUGACAUGAUUGCUGGCCGAUCGAAGAAGGUUCAUAAGAAGGUCGUCAAGAAAACCAGUCGCCGAGUCCGGGCUCGUACAGAAUCGGCGGAUCCUCCUGUGCUCGUAUCGGCAGAAACUUUGACUGCGCCACCUUCCCAGGCCACACAAAUUGCCGAUACUCAAGCCAUCACACAAGCCGGGGUGGCUGCUGCAUCAUUAUUGUUGGAAGCUAUACAAGUAAGUCCGAGCUUUACCAUCUCCGAUUGUCAUCUUGAUAUUAGCUCUUCUUAACUUUGUACUUCUUAGAGCACCUCUAUGGAAAUACCACAAUCGGCGACAACUCGACCGAACACCAAUGCGCCCCCGCCCUCAUCCAUUGAGGUACGGUACUUAUCUUACGGAUUCUUUCGGGUGUUUGCGUAAUGUACUUAACCGAUUCUUCAACGCAGGCCAUCGGCACACCGAGCACUUCUCGACAGCCGAUUUCUUCCCAGGGAGCUGGUCCGAGCACCGCGCCGAUUGUCGUGGAAUCCUCUUCAUCGGAUGAACCUAUGCACAGGCCGCUGAGCAAGACACGACGGCUUUACAAGCGCAGCAUGAAGAAAUUCGUUUUAAAAUGGUAAGUUCCUAAACCAGCUUUUCAACCAGCCGAUUUGCUCUGAUCCCCCGCCGAUUCACCCCUUUUCCUUAUUUUGUUAGGAACAAGACUCCCCCAACAACAGCCUCUUCUCCUUCACGGUUGCUCUUUCUGAUGAUGAGGAAAUCGUAUCCCGCCAAGUUGCUCUAAGCUCCGUCCCUGACGACGUCCGAGCUAAACUUACCAACAUCCGAUCCCUCCUGCAAGGGGACAUCGGCCGAUUGGUAGAAGAUGCUUCGCCGAUUCGGCAGCUCUUCAGUGACGUCAGCGGACGAGUACCAGAGGAAGCGGAAGAGGCCUUAGCACCAGCGGCCUUUAUUGAGUCCAUGAGGAUCCCAGUCUUUAGGGCCCUUCGUCAUAUGGCCGAUCGCGCGAAGCUGGCCAAGACUCGUGAAGAUGAAAACGCUUUCAAGCAUCAGGCUCAAGAAGCGCAUCGGCGUAUCCAUGUCCUAGAAGUCUCACGCCCGGCGAUCAUUAGUGAAAUAGACCGCCUCAAACGACGGAGGGCGGAACUUGCCAAAGAGAUGGAGCAAGUGACCAAGGCAAUCAGCGCCGAAGAGAACAAACUUCAAGAGUUACCCUCUGCUAUUGCCGAUUUGACACGGGAGAGGCAGCGUUUUGCUCAAGAGGCUCUGAGACUCCACCGCAACGCAUCGGAGGUCCCUGGAUCGGCAGAAGAAGACCAACGGGUUCUUGACUCUGCCGAUCAGAUCCGGCGUCGGGCCAUCACGGCUAUCGAUACCCUUUUGGGUAAUCUGUAAAACACUGACCGUUUUGUACGAACAUUUACUACCUUCUUUGACCGACCCUUCGCGACGCCCUCUCUAUUUACUGCCUUCCUUAUUACCGAUGGGACGUGGCCUCACCAGAUUUCCACGUAUUUUCCCCCAUAAAUAUCGACCUCGGCGCCUACUCCCGAUAGCAUCGACCCGGCUUCCAUUUCACUUUUCUUCUUCUUCUCAUCAGUGCGACUAUUUUGUCAUGGCCUCAUCGUCAUCCUCUUCUGUCAACCAGGUGAAGCCCCGACUUCUCCUCUUAGAUCUUAGGAAACGAAUGUUUCACCUUAUUCUUUCUUUGUUUCAGCCCCAACGCCUCGGUCCGGAGCUCGUGCGCGCCAUCGAGUGCAUCCAUUCUGAAGAUCCGUUGACCCCGGAGGACAAGGCUCUGAUUCUGGCCCACCAAGAGGAGCUUCAAGACCACAUUACUGCAGAGGCUCGUGCAGUCUUGGAUGCCGUGGUAAGUGAAAGCCGUCGCCAAUCUCCAAUCAUGAGGGGUCGUCGUCGUGACGUUCCUGGAGAUGACGUCACUUCGGCAGCCCGCACGAUCCUGGAUUACAUGGAGAGGAACGGCGGCCAGCGGUCUUCCACCGAUAGAGCCCGUCUGCUUCCUCGGCCCGUCAUCCUUGCGGCGGCGGAGGCUUCGCAACUUCGUGCUGUGGACGAGUUGGAGCGGAAUGGGAAGGCAUCCCAGAAGAAGAACAAUUAGCUUGUUUUUUUUUUGUAUUUUUGUUCUAAGGGCGACUUAGUGUUUUGUCGGCCAUGUAAUCCGUCGUCCGUACCGAAUAAAUGUAAUCGGCCGCUCCGGUCGACUUUAUGUGCAUCUUAAACCGACUCGUAUCGGCUAUGUAUGAUUGUGUUGAUUUCUCAGGCUCCGACCCAUAUACUUGGGUAAUAUCUUUUUAAGUAUCUUCCAUUCAGAGCUCUAGUGAAUUCUUCUCCUUCUAUUGUUUCCAAAAUAUAGGCAUUCCCUGGAGCGCAUCUGCCGAUUUUAUACGGCCCUUCCCAGGUAGGGGACCAUUUUCCGAAUUUAGGAUCUUUCGACCCGAUCGGUAGUACUAGCUUCCAUACCAAGUCUCCAGGGGAGAACUGCUUGACUUUGACCUUUUUAUCGUACCACCUGGCCACUCUCUUUUUAUUUUCUUCGAUACUUAUCAGAGCCCUUAGUCGUUGGCCAGCCAAAUCAUCGAGUUCCCCUUUCAUCAGAGAUGAGUAAUCAUCGGCUGACAACUGGUCCUGAAGUGAGAUGCACCUUGAUCCUGCCCUCGACUCCCAUGGUAGUACUGCAUCGUGACCGUAUACCAGCUGAUAGGGGGAUAACUUGGUAGCCCCAUGACAGGCCAUUCUGUAUGCCCACAGGGCCUCAGUCAAACAUAGGUGCCAGUUCUUCGGAUAUUCUUCAAUCUUCCUUUUGAUCAACUUGAUUAUUCCUUUGUUGGAAGAUUCUGCUUGACCAUUGGCUUGAGCGUAAUACGGAGAAGAAUUCAACAAUUUGAUGCCCAUAUCGGUCGUAAAUUCCUCAAAUUCCCCCGAUGUGAACAUUGUUCCUUGAUCGGUUGUUAUAGUUUGAGGGAUACCGAAUCGGUAAAUGAUAUGGUCCCUUACGAAGUCGGCCAUGAUAGCCGAAGUCACAGUCCUCAACGGGAUUGCCUCCACCCAUUUGGUGAAGUAAUCGGUAGCCACCAGAAUAAAUUUGUGCCCCUUGCUCGAUGGUGGAUAAAUUUGGCCGAUGAGGUCUAUUCCCCACCCCCUGAACGGCCAUGGCUUGAUAAUGGGAUUCAUGGCCGACGCGGGUGCACGUUGGACAUCUCCAAACUUUUGACAUUCCUGACAACCCUUAUAAUAUUUGAAACAGUCUUCGAGGAUCGUAGGCCAAUAGUACCCGUUGUUCCUGAUCAUCCACUUCAUCUUAUGUGCCGAUUGGUGUGCUCCACAUACCCCUUCAUGGAUUUCUCCCAUUAGAGUCUUGGCUUCUUCUGUCCCAAGGCAUUUAAGAAGGACUCCGUCGAUCGUUCGGUAGAACAGAUCAUCUUCGAGCAGUACGUAUUUGGUGGCGUGAAAGCGUACUCGUCGCUCCACCUUUUUAGACGGAUCCUUCAGGUAAUCGGCAAUUUCUUUACGCCAGUCGUCGGCUGCAAGUUCUAAGGCCAUGGCGCCCAGAAUCGGCCGAUACCCAAAUGCGUGCUGAGCGAGUUUGUUUGCUUCCUCGUUGCGGUCUCUUGGAACAUGCUCGAUUACUGCCGAUCUGAAUCCUUUUAAAAGCUGUAAGCAAUCUUCGUGAUAGAUUCUUAAUAUGUCAUCUUUGCACUCAACCCUUCCGGUUAGUUGAUCCACAAUUAGCAUAGAAUCCCCGAAGAUCUCAACAGAAUCGGCCUUGACUUCUCUCAAUAAUUGUAAGCCUUUUAAUACAGCUCUGUACUCCGCUUGAUUGUUAGUGGCGGCGGUUUCUAUCGGCAGAGAAAAAUCAUAGCUUGCCCCCCGAGGCGAUAUGAGAACGAUGCCGAUUCCUGAUCCGGCCCCACAUGAUGACCUGUCAAAAAACAAUUGCCAGGGCGCUAGUUCCACGAAGGCGAUCUCCGGUCCACAGUGCUGGGCGACGAAAUCGGCCAUGACUUGACCCUUGACGGCUUUUGCCGAUUCAUACCGUAGGUCAAAUUCUGAUAAAGCUAAGAUCCAUUUACCGAUUCGUCCUUUCAAUAUCGGCAGGGACAGCAUGUAUUUCACUACAUCAUCUUUGCAUACGACUACACAUUCUGCCGACAGUAGAUAGUGCCUGAGUUUGGUGCACGAGAAGUAAAGACACAAACACAAACGCUCCACCGGAGGGUAUCUCGUUUCGGCAUCCAGGAGUCUUCUACUGACGUAAUAAAUUACCCGCUCUUUGCCUUCAAAUUCUUGGACUAGAGCCGACCCAAUAGUUUUUUCAUCGGCUGAUAAAUAUAGUUUAAACGGCUUACCAGUUUGAGGGGGAACCAAGACUGGCGGUGAGACCAAGUAUCGCUUGAUAUCUUCUAAUGCCUUGCGCUGUUCUUCUCCCCAUAUAAAUUCCUGGUCGGGCUUCAACUUCAGAAGUGGCGUGAACGCCUGGAGUCGUCCAGAUAAAUUAGAUAUAAACCUUUCUAAUGAAGUUUACCUUGCCGAUUAGAGACUGUAGCUCAGUUUUGUUCUGUGGAGCAACGACUUUGUUGAUGGCCGCUAUGGUCUUCUGAUUGACUUCUAUGCCUCGUUCGUGCACCAUGAAUCCUAAGAACUGUCCAGCGGAGACGCCGAAAGCGCAUUUGUUGGGAUUCAUCUUAAGACCAUGCUUUUUGGUACACUCUAGCACCCUUCGCAAAUCGGCUAAGUGUUCUUCGUGGCUUUUGGACUUGACCACAACAUCAUCGAUGUAGAUCUCCACCAGGAGGCCAAUGAGUUUGUGAAAAAUGUAGUUCAUGGCUCUCUGAUAUGUAGCGCCAGCAUUCUUCAAGCCGAAAGUCAUCACCACCCACUCGAAUAAACCAAGAUGGCCCGGACAUCUGAAAGCCGUUUUGGGUAUGUCCUCUUCGGCCAUAAGUAUUUAAUUGUAUCCGGCGUUUCCAUCCAUGAAGCUAAUAAUUUUGUGUCCCGCAGCGGCGUCGAUCAGUACAUCGGCCGUAAGCAUGGGGUAACCAUCCAUCGGUGUGGCCUGAUUAAGAUUCCUGAAAUCAAUGCAAACGCGCAGCUUCCCGUUUUUCUUGUACACUGGCACGAUAUUAGAAAUCCACUCGGCAUAACGACAUUGCCGAAUAAAUUUUGCUUCAAUUAGCCGAGUUAUUUCAGCUUUUAUGUCUGGUAAAAUUUUAGGAUUGCAUCGCCGUGCGGGUUGUUGGUACGGCCGAUACCCUGGCUUUAUGGGUAGCCGAUGUUCAACAAUAGAUCGAUCUAAACCGGGCAUCUCGUGAUACUCCCAAGCAAAACAAUCCUUGAAUUCUCUUAAUAAAUUUGUCAAUUUACACUUAUACUCUGGGUCUAAAUUUGCACUAAUAAAAGUCGGCCUUGGUUUGGUUCCGUCACCUAAGUCUAUCAUCUCUAAUGAAUCGGCCGACGUGAAUCCGUGCCCCAAUUUCCCAUCUUCUCGGGCGAACUGAUCCAUCUAUUCCGCUUCCUCGGAGCCGACUGCUCGGAUCGGCUGUAGGCCAAAAUCGGUGACCUUCAGGAAAUCGGUUUCCCACACCCUACCUGAUAUGCAUCUGACGGUUUCGCAGCUCCAUUGCUGUGCGUCGGCUGCUGCGAUGCUGUAUGCGGAGUCGGCUUUGACCACCUCGAUGCUAUCGCCGACCCAUUGUACGAGGCAUUGAUGCAUAGUUGACGGGAUGCAGCAGUUUGCGUGUAUCCAGGCUCGGCCAAGAAGCAUAUUAUAGGACCCUUUGCCAUUAAUGACGAAAAACGUGGUAGGAAGAGUCUUACUGCCGAUGGUGAGGUCGACGCAGAGAGCACCGCGAGCGGUUGACACCUUGCCUUCGAAGUCCUUGAGCAUCAUGUCCGUCCUGGUUAGGUUGUCGUCGCUCUUCCCCAGCUUCCGGAGUACGGCAUACGGCAUGAUAUUGACAGCAGCUCCUCCGUCGACCAUCAAUCUAGUGAGGGGACGACCGUCAACAUGCCCUUUAAGGAACAACGUCUUCAUAUGUUGUCGUUCGUCGUCUUCGGGCUUUCCGAACGUGGCCAUCAUUGGUUCUAAAGCCAACCGUGCUGUCUGUUCCUCUAUCGCCGAUACGUCCUGUUGAUCGGCAGGGGUCAUGAACUCCAUCGGCAAUAUGAAAACCAUACCGAUCUCGGCUGCCGAUUCAUCACCCGCCGACUCAUUGUUUCCCUUGUCGUUUCUUUUGGGGCGCCACACCCGAGGCCUCCCUUCCUUCUUGUCCAUCGCGCUCUCUUCUUCUUGCUGUUCCCAUUGGCGGAGGUGUUGGAUCCUCCGUUUUUGUGAUUUGGUUAAACCAUCGGGGCACCACAUGGGGUUUAUUGGCCUCCCUUCUUUCCUGGCGCGUUCCCACUCCGGUUCGCGUCCUAACGGGUUCUCGUCCGUUACCCGAGCAUUGGCCAUGUCUUCGAGCCGGCUGUGAACGCUAGCUUUGCUAUUUGACUGAUCAUGUCGAUCAGCCCUGCCCCCCUGCCUAUCAUGGCUUCUAUCUUCUGACCGAUCAUAUCGGUCACUUCUGCCCCCCAGCCGAUCACGCAUGGGAGGGCGCUGGUCAUCUGGGUUGCGCCAAUUCCUGCUGAUCGGUUCUGGCCUUCCGUCUCUGGAGCGAGACCUGGUGAACGGCCGAUUGCCCCGAUAGGGACCGUUGCACUCUGGGCAAGUAUCGGCCGAUGGUAGCCUGAGGUUAUUUUCCCAACAAUGAAUGAAGAACGGGCAUCUCCAGUGCUCCUCGUGCCGACGCAUCGCUUCCUCUCGGGACCUUGAACGUUCAUGUUGGCAUUGGUACUUUUGGAGCAGGAACUGGGAAGUAAUGCGUGGCCCUCCUGACUCACCAUCAUCGUCCUCCAUUUGUCGCUUUCCCUUGACAUCUUCAGACGUAACUUGAUUUCUGGGAUCGACAGCGCCACUCUUUUUGGCCAACUCGAACGUCAGCACUUUUGUUUGGAGAGAAUUCUUUCCCGUAUCAACCAUGUUGGUAGGAAAGGGGUGCUGGUCGAUCUUCAUUGGUUUGGCCGAUUUUGCCGGCACUUCAAAUUUGAGUCUGCCUUGCUUAAUGGCCGACUGUAUUUGUUGCCUGAAGAUUUUGCACUCGUUAGUAUCAUGUGAUGUGGCAUUGUGCCACUUGCAAUACUUCAUCUUUUUCAAUUGUUUGGCAGAGGGUAUUGUAUGGUAAGGCGAGAGUUUAAUCUGCCCUUCCUGGAGUAAAAGAUCGAAGAUUUUAUCAGCUUUAGUUGUAUUGAAACCGAAUGCUUCCGGCUCCUUCUUGCCGAAUGGGCAUGAUAUCGGCUUCUUUCCCUUAAUCCACUCUGCAAGUCCGAUUUCGGCAUCGUCCUCGUCCUCUAAUUCUUCCAGGAAUGCCACUUUCUUCUGGAAAUUCCUUCUCGGAUCAAAUGGACGCACUUCCUGCCCGGACAAUCGGUGGACAAUCUGGCUCGGGCUCUCGAACUCUUGUGAAGCAUAUUUCUCUUUAAUGUGUGGCAGCAGGCCUUGGAAAGCUAUAUCGGCCAACUGAGCAUCGGUUAGAGCCAGGGAGUAGCAUUUGUUUCUGAUUUCCCGAAACCUCUGUAUAUACGAGGGUAUCGGCUCAUCACUUCUUUGCCGGAGGCUAGUCAAAUCAGACAGCUUCAUUUCAUGGACCCCAGCAUAGAAGUACUUGUGGAACUGUCUUUCUAGAUCGGCCCAUGUGAUAAUUGAGUUUGGUGGCAAAGUUGUGAACCAUUGGAAGGCCGAUCCAGACAAAGAUGACGAGAACAAUCGUACCCGCAGGGCAUCUUGCGUAGCUGCCUCCCCGCAUUGGAUGAUGAAUCUAUUCACAUGUUCUACGGUAGAAGUGUCAUCCAUCCCCGAAAAUUUGGUAAAAUCAGGAACUUUGUACCGAUGGGGGAACGGCAACAGGUCAUAUGUAGAUGGGUAUGGUGUUCUAUAGGUAUAAGUUUGCAUUUUCGGCUUCAAGCCGAAUUGUUCUUGCAUUACCUCCGCAAUUUGCGCCGACCAAUCUGGUUGUUGCUGGGGAACAGUUGGCUGCGGUAUCGGCACGUGCUGAUAAAUCGGAGGCUGAAUAAAAGGAGAUUGAUGAAAAGGUGGUAUCUGAGUGUAAGCUGGCGGUGUAGUAAAGGUUGGCUGUUUGUAUGAACCACUUGUUUCAUCAUACAGCAUGAGCUCUGACGUCUUGUUGACCUCCGGAGCGACAGGCUGGUAUGGUGGUAUGAUCGGCCGGGUGGCCGUUUGGGAGUGUGUCUGGAACGGAGGAUUUCCUUGACUGACCGAUUGAUUCAGACUGGCCGCGUUUAAAGGUGCCCCCCAGGGUGAAGGGCUGACUCGAGGGAAUGGCGCAGAGGACAGUUGGGUAGAACCAUAUCCCAAAGGAAUUGAUGACGCAGAAGCACCGGAUCCUCCAACAGAAGAUUGGAUCGGCUGUGAAGCCGGAUAAGCCUGAUUUGGUGGAAUCGGCUGAAAAUACGUUGGUCCCCUGUAUCCUUGAGGUAUACCUCCGGCGAAGGAGUUGACAACGGCAUUGUGCACCAUGUUUGAGAGUACCGGGGAUUGAUUGAUGAAGGCGUGAUGAAGAGAUUGUUGAAUCAUAUCGGACAUUUUGUCCGAAUCCUCAGAAAUUGUGAUCUGACGGGGAGUAGGGAAAGGAGUUUUCUUAACAGUUUCCCCGCUCCUGGAACGACUGAAGGAUUUUAAGCAAGUUUUCCGGACUUGUUCCAGAUACUUAUCCAGAUCUUCCUUUUGGUCGUCCUUUAGAUCUGCUUCCGUCACCUUGAUGACGUUAUCUUCAGAGACUUCGGCAGCUUUCGACAUGAAAGCGGUUGUAUUGGUCCCACCGGGCGUGCCAAAAGUGUGUUGGCGCUAGAAAUCGGUCAAACGAAUCCCAGCGACCGACACACGACCCGGGAGAAUCUGCUUAGCUCCUGUUCGGGUGAAUGCCCUAGUGCGGUUCGCGCGGCGUGCCAGCCAAUCUGACCUGUUGAUUGGCAAGGAAGAACACGUGUCAGGUUCAGAAACUACGAUCGGCUAAGUUUCCGAUCGAGAGAGUUUAUCGGCGAAUUGGCCGAUUUACUGUGAUAAUGAAAUCGGCUAUAAGACAGCCCGAUCCCUAUAGCCUUGUAGAUAGAAAAUUGCUAAAGUAAUCGGUACAAAGCUUGCGAUAACAACACUAGGAACAGAUCUAAUCGGCAACGGAUGAAUCUAACGAUAGAAAAUAAAUAAAGCCGAUACUACCGAUUCCUAGCUGGAUAACUGGUGAUAGAAACUAGAAAAACAGGUAAAAACCUAUGAAUCUAGCAAAUAUCGAUAACUGAUGAAUAAAUCUAAACGAAACAACAGCGAUGCGCCGGAAGUUAAAGCUUAGAUAUUACUCGAUAAACGGAACUUACAGAAUCGGCCGGAGAUCAAGAUGAUGCAGCCCUGCCAAUCCGCACGAACUCGUAAGAAGAAAAAGUAAUAGCGAAGUCGCCUGCUCGGGAGUAAGUACGAAGGAAAAAGUAACUUGUUGUAUUGAUUGGUUGAUGAUUACAGAUUUACAAAGGUAGCUAUUUAUAGCCCCGUACAGAUAACUUCUUAACCGACUAGAAUUCUAUCUCUAAUUCAAACAGAAAACAAACAUCUACAAGCACAAUUCGUGCUAGGUUAGUUACCCCACGCUUCGUGGGCUGACCUUCACCUUAUCCUUCCAUCCCUUUCCAAGCCCAUACAGGCCCAAUUAGUCCAUCCUCUUAAUCGGCCGAUUUCUCAUCGGCAAAAGAUUACCGAUUGGGAUUCUGGUGCAUUCAUCCUGAAGCGAGACAAAAGUCGCCAGCCGAUCCCGCACUAUAGCACCAUUUGACCGAUUCCCAACUGUAGUUCUCCGAUUUCUUUUCUGCUUGACGCUGAUUCUACUGGUGACGAAAUCCGGCGUCAACACCGUCAUAUACUCCUUGGAGCGAGUAUGACGGAGGUGGAUGCCGGCGCACCCAAUCGGCACCGGAGGCGACCGCUGCUGGCUUCCGGCCUUCCCCGUCUUCUGGUAGAGGCUCACCGUGAAGAAGUACUUCCACAGCUCGAAGUGGGGCUCGAUCCCCAGGAAUCCCUCGCACAACGCGACGAACGCCGCAAUAUGCUGAAUCCCAUUGGGGUUGAGAUGCUGGAGCUCGAGCCCGUAGUAGUGGAGGAGCCCGUGGAAGAAACGGCUUGGAGGGGAGGCGAAUCCCCGCUCGUGGAAGUGGGCGAAGGAGACGACGUAGCCGGCGGGCGGCGACGGAACCUGCUCCGACCCCGGUAGCCUCCACUCAUCCGCCGCCGUCCUCUCGCAAAGGAGCCCCUUUCGCACCAGGCCUUCGGCGCGACUGGCGGUGAAGUGGGAGACUCCCCAGGAAGCCAUCACCGAAGAAGAAAGGAGAUCGACGAAGGCGAAGACGAAACGCGCGGCGAGUGGCAAUGGGAACAAGGCGAACAAAGCGAGCGCAGGUGAGCUAGGAAGGCAAGAAGGCUUGAGCGCAAAAGGAGAGGAACCGGCGCGACGUGUUCCUGCUUUUAUAGGAAGAGUACCGGGGAAGCCAAACCGACGCCCCGGCCGCCAUAAAUGCGGCGCCAGGUACGCCCCUGCCACGCCCGUUUCCUUUCGAAAAUCACGCGCAUGAUCGGCCGUGAAAAAACAUCCUAUAUUCCUCGAUCCGCGGAACGACGCCUCCAUAACUCGACUCCCCGGGCUUCGCGCCCACGACGCUCCCCACGAUCGGCCCUGGCACAUCAACCGCUCCGCUCCGGCCCAACGCCCACAGGGAGGUAAGAAAGGGAUACGGGGCUGAAAACGCCCCUACGGCCCAAUACGGUCCAGGGGUUCGAAAGCUGGCCCAACACGGGUUCGACAGUUGCCCCAGGACAUCCCCGAGCAAGGGGUGAGAAGGGACGAGCCCGCUAGCGGCCAACACCCAGGCGAGCAAACGCCAAGGGCGCCCCAACCUCACGUUCGAGUCCCGCUCAGUAUAAAGUUCAUGGUUUUUCCACGGGGAAAGGCAACGAGCCCUCAGAUCCGGUCGAACGGAUCCGAGAACUAUAUGAACUGACCGACGGGAAAUUGGAGUACGCCACCAGCUUGGCCCGAGCCGGACCCCCCCGAACGGGGAUCGGGACUCCACUCGAACUUACCCGUUUGCAGCUCAAAUGAGCACCACGGUUCGUCCUACGCGGAUAACGUGGCUCGGCUCAACCCCUCCGUCCUAGCGAACGGACGCUUGAGGGGCAACGAUCAAAAAGUCGACCUGGCCUACCGAUCGGUUUCCUGCAAAAAGCGAAAGGAGCCUCCGGAGGAGCACUCCUGCUCCACCACAGGCUCGGGGGCUACUGUUGGGGGGAAAUAUUAACGACCCUCUAACACGCAGCUUAAAGAAACAAACAUGAAGGCCCAGGCCCACCGAAGCGUGAUCGAGUCUCCGCCUCGCCCGACCCCAGCGUCAGGAUCGGGAGCGCCCGACCUCCCUCCGCAAGAUCUCCGCCUCGCCCGACCGCGCCCCCAGGGUCGGGAGCGCCCGACCCUGUACCACGAAAGUUCCACCUCGCCCGACCCCGAGCAAAGGAGUCGGGCACGCUGAGGCCCACGGGUCAGAAUCCCCCUCGGAUACAUUCCGCAUAGACAAGACAAAUCCUGUGGGGCCCCCCGUCGGCCUCACCAUAAAUGCGCCGCAGAGAUAGCAGAGCGCAGGGCGACUGCGCCCCUCACGCAACCCGGCGCAAGUACCCGCGCACGACCGUCCUGUACGAGCUACAGUAUUGGCGGCCAGCUCCUAUUCGUCGCAAGGUACUCAUGACCUGCGGCGAC
rnacentral:lncRNA from 1 species